rnacentral:rRNA from 1 species
UGGGGAAUAUUGGACAAUGGGGGGAACCCUGAUCCAGCCAUGCCGCGUGUGUGAAGAAGGCCUUAUGGUUGUAAAGCACUUUAAGCGAGGAGGAGGGUACUGGUAUUAAUACUACCAGGUACUGGACGUUACUCGCAGAAUAAGCACCGGCUAACUCUGUGCCAGCAGCCGCGGUAAUACAGAGGGUGCGAGCGUUAAUCGGAUUUACUGGGCGUAAAGCGUGCGUAGGCGGCUGAUUGAGUCGGAUGUGAAAUCCCCGAGCUUAACUUGGGAAUUGCAUUCGAUACUGGUUAGCUAGAGUAGGGCAGAGGGUGGUGGAAUUUCCUGUGUAGCGGUGAAAUGCGUAGGUAUAGGAAGGAACACCAGUGGCGAAGGCGACCACCUGGGCUCAUACUGACACUGAGGUGCGAAAGCGUGGGGAGCAAACAGG